rnacentral:lncRNA from 1 species
UUUUUUUUUUUUUUUUUUUUGAGAUGGAGUCUAACUCUUGUCGCCCAGGCUGGAGUGCAAUGGUGGGAUCUCUGCUCACUGCUACCUCCGCCUCCCAGGUUCAAGCAAUUCUCCUGCCUCAGCCUCAUGAGUAGCUGGGAUUACAAGUGCCUGCCACCAUGCCUGGCUAAUUUUUGUACUUUUAGUAGAGAUGGAGUUUCACCAUGUUAGCCAGGCUCCUCUCGAACUCCUGACCUCAGAUAAUCCACCUGCCUCGGCCUCCCAAAGGACUGGGAUUACAGGUGUGAGCUACUGCACCCGGCCUAGCAUACUUUGUUAAGAUGACAAGUUCUUAAAGAUUAUUUUCAGGGAUCUACUUUAUCAGUUUGUAUAAAAACUGUAAAUUCUUUUCAAAACAUAUAUCAAAAUAUUCAGAAAAAGUCUAGCCUCUAAAUAAAGAAAUAGUUUCGGAUAAAGUAGCUACUGAUAACAUGUUUUAAAUAAACAAUUUCUUGCUUGAAAGUUUUUACUUUUAUGUUCAUUUGUUUCUUCAUAUUCCAAAACAUUUAUUGAACGACUGAGUUAGAUUCUGCCGAUGUAAAAAGAAAAGCGUGAGACCUGGUUGCUACUUACAGACGGAUCAUAGUUGAGGAAAAAAGACAUGGAUAAAAAUGUAAUGUGCUGAGAUGCAUUUUAAUCUGAAACUGAGAUGUUCAGAAGAUAGAUGGAGGCAUAGCAGCUGAAUUCAAGAAGUGGCAUGGAGAUAGCUUGAGCUGGACAUAUCAUUUUGUAUCUGUGUUUAGCAUAGAAAAAGAGAGGGCCUAAACAAUACUAAGCUAUUUUCAAAUACUUGAUAAAAAUUACGACUGCCGAGGAUAAUAACACAUGAAUUGUGUGCUGCUCUUCCUUAUCCCUGCUUGAGGCAAUGGAUAACGGUCUUUCACUUCGUACGCUCAGUGGGCACUGCUAUUUUCUUUGGUGUUUAGCAGAACUAAAAUCAGUAACAUUUAUAAGACCAACUUUGUAUUUCAUAAGCUUAUAUUUUUCAACUCUUUGCACCUGGUGAAGAUGGUUUGUAAAAUCUAUAAUAUAUAUCACUCAUUCCAAGGCCAGUGUUUCUUUUCGCGGUGGGGUUAAGAGUGCAGACUCGAGCUGGUUGCCUAGCUUCUCUGAGCUUCAAUCUCAUUGUCUGUGAAACGGGAAGAACAAUACUGCCUGCCUCACAUGACAGUUGUGAGGCUGAAAUGAGCUCAGUACAGAGUCUGAUGCUUGCAUAUUUCUCACUAAGUGCUCACUGUCAUUCAUGGGGUAGGGAUAGCUCUGGAGGUCUGGAGAGCUGUGGCUGUGGAGUCUUAAGGCCUGGCUAGGAUCGCCUGCUCUGUCAUGUACUUACCUUGCAUUUUGAUUUUUUUUUCCCAUUAAUGAAGAAGGGAUUCCUGCCCUAGAGUUAUGGGGAUGGCCUGACACACAACACCAGGCAC